UACGAAGGGGGCGAGCGUUGUUCGGAUUUACUGGGCGUAAAGGGCGCGUAGGCGGUUUGGUUAGUUAGGCGUGAAAUUCCUGGGCUCAACCUGGGGGCUGCGCUUAAUACAGCCAGACUAGAGUGUGAAAGAGGGUCGUGGAAUUCCCAGUGUAGAGGUGAAAUUCGUAGAUAUUGGGAAGAACACCGGUGGCGAAGGCGGCGACCUGGUUCAUUACUGACGCUGAGGCGCGAAAGCGUGGGGAGCAAACAGG
rnacentral:rRNA from 1 species